UGGGUACCACCCUCACCACUGCUGUUGGGAGUGAGAUCUGUGCAUCAUUCUGGUGAACAACCAGCUACUACUUACUCAAGGAACAUUGUAUAGAUGGUGGAUGAUGGAUGAUAAUGUGCUGUGGACCAAGGAAUAUGAAUAUUUCAACAACCAGCCCCGGACACCCAAAAGACAGAAUGUACCUCAGCAAUUUCUGAUCAUCUCCAUUUCUCUGAUCCGAAGUGCUUGUGUGUUGGUCUCCCGGACUCUGUCUCUUCAAUGGUGCACAUGACAGAAUUCCUUCUGCUUGUCCUCACUUCACUUUCUCUGGGCUCCCUGGUGCUUUGUUGUAAAUCUGCCGUGCCUCCAGAUGGCCAGUUCCCUCAGAGCAAGUUGUAACAUUGCUGAUCACUGUCCUGGCAGUCACCUUUCUAAACCUGGAGUCUGCUAACAAGUUAAAUCUGCACCGCCUAAACGCCCAGAUGCCUGUCGUCACAUGGCACACCCCAGAAGGGUACACCAGCAACCAGCAGCAUCGCGUCUGAGCCGUCUGGCCGGAGACAAGGGCAAAAUGGAUGUCUUGUUUCACUCUGUCUCUUUUUGAAUAUUUAAAACGUUUCAAUAUAUUUCUAUUGCUAUUACUCCAGAAAAAA